rnacentral:rRNA from 1 species
AGCAGCCGCGGUAAUUCCAGCUCCAAUAGCGUAUAUUAAAGUUGCUGCAGUUAAAAAGCUCGUAGUUGAAUUUCGGGACCAUCACGUCGGUCGUGCCUCGGCACGUACUGGCGUCGUUGGUUUCUCCCUUCUGACGAACCAUGAUGUCAUUUAUUUGGUGUCGUGGGGAAUCAGGACUGUUACUUUGAAAAAAUUAGAGUGUUUAAAGCAGGCUCACGCUUGAAUACAUUAGCAUGGAAUAAUGAAAUAGGACGUUGAUCCUAUUUUGUUGGUUUCUAGGAUUGACGUAAUGAUUAAUAGGGAUAGUUGGGGGCAUUAGUAUUCAAUUGUCAGAGGUGAAAUUCUUGGAUUUAUUGAAGACUAACUACUGCGAAAGCAUUUGCCAAGGAUGUUUUCAUUAAUCAAGAACGAAAGUUAGGGGAUCGAAGACGAUCAGAUACCGUCGUAGUC